GUAGGUGAACCUGCGGAAGGAUCAUUAGAAAAAUUAAUAAUCAAAAACAAUGUUGAAAUUGGUCAACUAUAUAAAUGAUUUAUAAAUUUAUUUUUUAAAAUAAAAACAACUUUUAAUGGUGAAUCUCUUGGUUCAU
rnacentral:misc_RNA from 1 species